AUACGGAGGGUGCGAGCGUUAAUCGGAAUUACUGGGCGUAAAGCGUACGUAGGCGGUUUGCUAAGUCAGAUGUGAAAGCCCCGGGCUUAACCUGGGAACUGCAUUUGAUACUGGCAGACUAGAGUAUGAUAGAGGGGGGUAGAAUUCCUGGUGUAGCGGUGAGAUGCGUAGAUAUCAGGAGGAAUACCAGUGGCGAAGGCGGCCCCCUGGAUCAAUACUGACGCUGAGGUACGAAAGCGUGGGGAGCGAACGGAAUUAGAAACCCCAGUAGUCC
rnacentral:rRNA from 1 species